rnacentral:lncRNA from 1 species
AGAAGCCUGACGCGAGCUCCUCGGCAAAUCUGAGUGGGGACUGCCAAGGACGUCAAUAAGCUCCUGCACGGUGUUAGCCUAGUCUACAUGAGAGCCGGGAGCGAACCGUAGGGUCCUUUUCUCCAGUGCUCUGCCCGGUUGCCCCGCCUUCCUCAAGUCAUUUAUCCAAUGAGAGAGCGAUAGGCGGCUACCUAAGGACGCUUCUGCUUUCCCUGAGUCUCGGAAAGAUUAGCCAAUUAAUGGGAACUUGAUGGUUGCUAAGAGACCUUUGAGCUUGGCUCCACCCAUGCUCAGGAUUGUAGCCAAUGAAAAUCUGUACUUUGGAGUGUUGCCGCGAAACCCGUGAGAUUUAUUCCGCCGCCUGAAUGUUUCGGCGCCUGCGCAGAUUGGGGAAGGUUCUGGAAGGUAGCGGAGCUGCCGCCAUUUUGCGGGAAGAGGAGCGGCUCCGGUUGUAGCGGGGCUCUUACUGCUGAGUCUCUGGAAGGGAGCCGUGGUUCGCGUCCCGCGACACACCCAAAGGAACGGAGGGAACCGGGACCCCCCCCUGCGGGGACCCGGAACUGCUGUCUUCAGUUUGGAGAUGUUUGUGCCCAGCUCAGUUACCGGACCCAGGAGAUGGCGCUACCAUCACCCCUGGGACUCCAGCGUUUGGUGAAUUCUGCCUGA